CCUACGGGAGGCAGCAGUGAGGAAUAUUGGUCAAUGGGCGGAAGCCUGAACCAGCCAAGUAGCGUGCAGGAUGACGGCCCUACGGGUUGUAAACUGCUUUUAUACGGGAAUAACGCGCCGUACGUGUAGGGCUUUGCAUGUACCGUAUGAAUAAGGACCGGCUAAUUCCGUGCCAGCAGCCGCGGUAAUACGGAAGGUCCGGGCGUUAUCCGGAUUUAUUGGGGUUAAAGGGAGCGUAGGCCGCAUGUCAAGCGUGCGGGGAAAUGUCCGGGCUCAACCCGGGCCUUGCAGCGCGAACUGGCGUGCUUGCGUCCGCGGCACGCAGGCGGCCUUCGUCGUGUAGCGGUGACAUGCUUAGAUCUGAC
rnacentral:rRNA from 1 species